UACAAUUUUUAAUGAUGAUAUUCUAAGUAGGAAUCUCAUUGACCAUUCCAACAUGAAAAUAAUUUUAUUACUGAUUUAUUUCAUUAUU
rfam:Lucilia cuprina strain LS Scaffold171, whole genome shotgun sequence.